CAGACUGAUACGGUACGUAGUGACUUGGUACAAUCAGCGCUGGAGAAACAACUGCCUUUCCUUCCACAGAAGAUAUGGAGUUAUUGCAUUUGUUUGGGUCAAUAACUGAAGAAACAGCUGUUAUUAAGUACCAGGCCAAAUAUCCAUUAUAAACAAGAUCUAUAAUCCCACAGUGAGUAGAACACUGGACAACAGCUCAGCAGGACAGGUCUGCUCCUGAAUGAAUAGGACUGCACAGCCCUGGAGCGUAGAAAGCAACUCCCAGAGAUGGGGUCUGCGAUCCUGAUAGAGACCCUAGGGUGACGGCACUGCACAAUCCCUGAACCCAAUUCCAGGAAACUGGCACUGUGCACCUCUCACUUCUGUGCCUUUUGCUCUUCCAGUUUGAGCCUUCCACUGAGGGCCCUUUGAUAGUAAUGAAAUGAGCUCUGGUUUAUUAAAGAACCACCCAGUUAGCCCACUAAGGCCUUUCAUGAACACAAAAAGGAUGAAAGUUUUCCUUCCAACACUUUUAAACAUUGCUCAUGGAGAAUACUUUUCUCCUCUCAUUCCUUUCCAGAGGGACCCGAGCCCAGACAUGUAUUGUUCCUGUGUCUGGGAGACAUUCUCAGAAGCAGGAAUUCCUGUAGAUCCAUGUCCUAAAGGACUCCUACGAAAUGAUGCAACUCAGACAAUAAGAGUGAGCCUGAGGGGAGCCCUUCAUUCUUAGCAGAGACAGUGCAGACCAGUCUCAUUCUUUUCUUGUGUGUUUUAAUCUAGCUUUGAUUAUCUAACCCUUUCGUCUCAUUUUUUCCCAUUAGGUCCCUUCAUGCUCUUUUGUUUGUUUUUAUAGGCUCCUGCUUUCUUCUAUUAUACUGUUGUCCCAAUAAAAUGUUUUACCUCUC